UACGUAGGGACCAAGCGUUGUUCGGAUUUACUGGGCGUAAAGGGCGCGUAGGCGGCAUGACAAGUCACUUGUGAAAUCUCCGGGCUUAACUCGGAACGGCCAAGUGAUACUGUUGAGCUAGAGUGCAGAAGGGGCAAUCGGAAUUCUUGGUGUAGCGGUGAAAUGCGUAGAUAUCAAGAGGAACACCUGAGGUGAAGACGGGUUGCUGGGCUGACACUGACGCUGAGGCGCGAAAGCCAGGGGAGCAAACGGG
rnacentral:rRNA from 1 species